GUGUCAGCCGCCGCGGUAAUACGUAGGUGGCAAGCGUUGUCCGGAAUUAUUGGGCGUAAAGCGCGCGCAGGCGGCCUUUUAAGUCUGAUGUGAAAUCUUGCGGCUCAACCGCAAGCGGCCAUUGGAAACUGGGAGGCUUGAGUACAGAAGAGGAGAGUGGAAUUCCACGUGUAGCGGUGAAAUGCGUAGAUAUGUGGAGGAACACCAGUGGCGAAGGCGACUCUCUGGUCUGUAACUGACGCUGAGGCGCGAAAGCGUGGGGAGCAAACAGGAUUAGAAACCCCUGUAGUCC
rnacentral:rRNA from 1 species